rnacentral:rRNA from 1 species
AACGAACGCUGGCGGCAGGCUUAACACAUGCAAGUCGAACGCCCCGCAAGGGGAGUGGCAGACGGGUGAGUAACGCGUGGGAACAUACCCAUCACUACGGAAUAACUCAGGGAAACUUGUGCUAAUACCGUAUACGACCGAGAGGUGAAAGAUUUAUCGGUGAUGGAUUGGCCCGCGUUGGAUUAGCUAGUUGGUGGGGUAAAGGCCUACCAAGGCGACGAUCCAUAGCUGGUCUGAGAGGAUGAUCAGCCACAUUGGGACUGAGACACGGCCCAAACUCCUACGGGAGGCAGCAGUGGGGAAUAUUGGACAAUGGGCGCAAGCCUGAUCCAGCCAUGCCGCGUGAGUGAUGAAGGCCUUAGGGUUGUAAAGCUCUUUCACCGGAGAAGAUAAUGACGGUAUCCGGAGAAGAAGCCCCGGCUAACUUCGUGCCAGCCGCCGCAGUAACAC